rnacentral:lncRNA from 1 species
CAUGUUCUUGAUGCGGACAUCAGUACCUGGAGUCGUGGAGAGGACAAGUGCAACGGACAUGCGAGUCUAGCCAAGGGUAAAGGAGAGACGAUCUCCCUUGUUGGGCAAGUCAAUGACGAAGGGGAGACGACUGUCAUUGAUUUGCCUUCUCUAGACUCCUAUCCCAUCACAAAGAAGCCAUCAAACCUCUCGGCUCACGUUCCAGCCGAACCAGACCAGAAAAUAUCAACCGACUUGACCCGACGCCGAGAAAACCUCUCAAAGUCAACCGACGUCAAUUUUGAUGAGUUAAACUACUCCAGCUUCAAGAUUCAUCAACCAAACACCUACAAGAAGACAUUUUGUCGUGGAAGAAUUCCCCUGGAGCGAGUUCAUUUAGAAGUUGCCCGAGACCCUCCAUUCAGAGCCUACCGAGAGCCGAGUCAUGAGUUCACGCUUUGUUUCUCUUUUUCAAGUGUUGCUGCGAAUUCUCAAGUCACUGGAUAUCAUAUUAGACGUACAUGGAAGAGAAAAGAAAGCUCAGAAUCUAUUUGGAGCGUUCACACUAAAGAAAAGCCACCUAGACCAAGACUUGCCUUAAACGGAACCGUUCACACUUGUGUUCACACCAGGCGACUUCUACACUUAAAAACUCGUGGUCCCACUUUCAAGAGACGUCCUCCAAGGCUUCAAGAAGACAUAUUUUGGCCAGAACAAGUUUUCCUUUUGUGCCUUAGACAUUAAAAUGUCAAACGGCUCUUUUCUCAUUAUUAGCAAAUCUUUGUUUCCUUUUCUUUGUUUUGUGAACGUUGAGCAGACUCUUUAUAAGCUCUUCGUCUCUUUCUUUGUUGGGGACACAUCUCUAUUCUAAUAAACUUCAGUUUUUGUUUCAAAGCUUUGUGCCUUUGAUUCUGUUCUUGUUUUAUCGAUUUCUCUUAAGUAUUGUGUGUGGAAUUUCCCUUGCUUAAGAAUCGAUUGAUCCUGUUCUUUCUAGUGCGUGGUUAUCCCCAGGAAAGUCAGUAUCAACCCUUGUUUGUCUCAGCAAAAACCGCACCUGAGCCAAGCUUCCAUCAUUCACCAUCGAUCCACCCUUCCGCAUAAGCCUUUUAGAGCCAUGAGGCCUUUGGUUUAAAGACUUGAUCUCGAGUCUUACAUCAUUGGUAUCAGAGCUUCAAAAGCUCCUAUCUAUCAGGUUAUUUCGUUCCUUUCAUUAGUUUUUCAUUAGUUUUCAUAUUUCUCAUAAAAAUCCUAAAAAGUAUUGUUUAUCGUUAGAUCUGUUGUUUCAAUUUUAUAAAAAUCAUAAAAAAAAAACCUAGAAAAAUUUUCUUUUGCUAUUUUAGUUUCCUAACCCCUUAUAAAAGCCAAAAAAAAUUAUUACUAGAAAUUUAGAAAUCGAUUUAUUAGUUUUAAUCCAAGCAAACUCAAACUAGAAAUUUUCUGCAAUUUUUCUGUUUUGUGAUUUUGUUUUGAUUUGAAUAAAACAUUGAUUUCUUUUGAAUCUUCUUGUGAGAGGUACCAUGGGAGAUGUUGUUGAAGACCCUGUUGCUACCAUGGCCCGAGCCUUCACAGCCUUUCAAGAUGAAGUGAGAAACAUGGGCUUAAGGCUAGAACAAAACAUCGCCAACAUAGGCGAGAGACUUGGCUGUGUUGAAGCACCACCCAACGGUGCAAACAGAGGCGCCCCACCACCCCAAGCUGACCAGCACGAAGAUAACAUGCCAGAUCUUGAAGAUGAUUUGCCCCCUGAUCGAAACAGAGCCCCGGAUCCACAACUACGACAACCUCGCCGGAGAGAUCCAAUGAACCGAAACCGGAUCCAUGAAGAGGUUCAAGGGCCGAACAAUGACUUGAAGAUGACUCCUCCUACCUUUGCUGGGAAGGUGGAUCCAGAUGCCUACCUUGAUUGGGAGAGGCGUAUGGAGUAUAUCUAUGAGUGCUACAACUACCCGGAGCCAAAGAAAGUCACCUUUGCGGCUGCUCAACUAACUGAUCAUGCCCUUGCCUGGUGGGAUCGAGCGAUGGCUGAGAGAAUACACUACAGAGAAUGACCACUCAAUUCUUGGGUGGAGAUGAAAACCUUACUCAAGCGGAGAUAUGUCCCACCUCACUACCACCGCGAUCUUCAAAGAAAAUUCAGAAAACUGUACCAGGGUCAAAGGACAGUAGAAGAGUACUAUGAUGAGUUUGAGAUCUUGAGGAACAGGCUGGAGCUAGAGGAAUCAGAAGAGACACUCAUGUCCCAUUUCAUUGAAGGUCUCAAUGACCGAAUCGCUAGAAAAGUGGAGAGACAACCAUACCAUCAACUUCACGAGCUGUUGCACCUAGCCAUCCAAGUGGAGCAACAGAUAAAGAAGAAGACAUCUACUGCUCAGAAAGCUAAGUCUAAUCCGCUAACAUGGAGUGCACCAACACCUCAGCCCAUUGACAAAGGAAAGUCCCUUGAAAUUGAAUCUCGAUUCAAAAGUAAGGUGCAUGACUCCUUUAGAGAUGUGCGCCAAGAGCAAGGUAAGUCUUCUACUCCUUACCACACACGUGAACUGACUUGUUACAGAUGCAAAGGAAGAGGUCACAUAUCACGUGACUGCCCAAACCCAAGGGUGAUGAUCGUUUUGCCAUCCGGUGACUAUGAAUCGCAAGAUGAAGAAGAACCUGAGAAUGAUAAGGAGACUGUCGAAUAUGCUGAUGAAGGAGAAUCUCUGGUUAUACUAAGAGCUUUAAACGCUCAGGUUUUUGAAGAAGACAAAGCCCAAAGAGAGAAUCUCUUUCACACUCGUUGUACCGUGAAAGACAAGGUAUGUCAUCUCAUUAUAGAUAGCGGUUCUUGUACUAACAUUGCAAGUUGUUUGAUGAUUGAGAAGCUAGGUUUUACUACUACAAGUCACCCUAGACCUUACAAGCUUAAGUGGCUGAAUGACAAAGAGGAGCUGAGCGUUUCCAAACAAGUGAAAGUUCCCUUUUCAAUCGGCGACUACAAAGAUGAAGUAGUGUGUGAUGUUGCACCAAUGGAAGCUGGCCAUAUCCUCUUAGGACGACCAUGGCAGUAUGACAGAGAGGUAUCACAUAAUGGGAGAACAAACCAAUACUCUUUCAGUUUUAACGAUCGGAGGAUCACACUUGCCCCAUUAGAUCAUUCGGAAGUCUGUGUGAUGCAAGCUAGAGCAAAAGAGAAAAGGCAACUCAAGGUAAGUCUUUUUCUACAAAAAUCUGAACCUUUACCUUCCUUAGAGCCCAUAACACACUUGUCUUUGCCAAAAGAGUCAAAAACAGGUUAUGAGAAGCUUGCGGCCACAGAGUUCAUCAAGAAAUCAACAAAGGAUGCACUCGAUAUUCACUCAACGUGGAAGGACAGCAAGGCAAGAAUGAAAGAACAUGGCUACCUCUACUCAAUGCUGAUCAGAGAAGCCCCACGAAUAUCAGACCAACCACCAAAACCGAACCAACACCAAGGUAAGCUUCUAAACCAAUACUCGGGAUACAAGUCUAACUUACUCUAUUUUGGUGCAGGUCAUAUGGUUUCGAGGUCGAAACCUCUUCAAGAGAGAGGGUAUGAUGCGGACAUCAGUACCUGGAGUCGUGGAGAGGACAAGUGCAACGGACAUGCGAGUCUAGCCAAGGGUAAAGGAAAGACGAUCUCCCUUGUUGGGCAAGUCAAUGACGAAGGGGAGACGACUGUCAUUGAUUUGCCUUCUCUAGACUCCUAUCCCAUCACAAAGAAGCCAUCAAACCUCUCGGCUCACGUUCCAGCCGAACCAGACCAGAAAACAUCAACCGACUUGACCCGACGCCGAGAAAACCUCUCAAAGUCAACCGACGUCAAUUUUGAUGAGUUAAACUACUCCAGCUUCAAGAUUCAUCAACCAAACACCUACAAGAAGACAUUUUGUCGUGGAAGAAUUCCCCUGGAGCGAUUUCAUUUAGAAGUUGCCCGAGACCCUCCAUUCAGAGCCUACCGAGACCCGAGUCAUGAGUUCACGCUUUGUUUCUCUUUUUCAAGUGUUGCUGCAAAUUCUCAAGUCACUGGGAUAUCAUAUUAGACGUACAUGGAAGAGAAAAGAAAGCUCAAAAUCUAUUUGGAGCGUUCACACUAAAGAGAAGCCACCUAGACCAAGACUUGCCUUAAACGGAACCGUUCACACUUGUGUUCACACCAGGCGACUUCUACACUUAAAAACUCGUGGUCCCACUUUCAAGAGACGUCCUCCAAGGCUUCUAGAAGACAUAUAUUGGCCAGAACAAGUUUUCCUUUUGUGCCUUAGACAUUAAAAUGUCAAACGGCUCUUUUCUCAUGAUUAGCAAAUCUUUGUUUCCUUUUCUUUGUUUUGUGAACGUUGAGCAGACUCUUUAUAAGCUCUUCGUCUCUUUCUUUGUUGGGGACACAUCUCUAUUCUAAUAAACUUCAGUUUUUGUUUCAAAGCUUUGUGCCUUUGAUUCUGUUCUUGUUUUAUCGAUUUCUCUUAAGUAUUGUGUGUGGAAUUCCCCUUGCUUAAGAAUCGAUUGAUCCUGUUCUUUCUAGUGCGUGGUUAUCCCCAGGAAAGUCAGUAUCAACCCUUGUUUGUCUCAGCAAAAACCGCACCUGAGCCAAGCUUCCAUCAUUCACCAUCGAUCCACCCUUCCGCAUAAGCCUUUUAGAGCCAUGAGGCCUUUGGUUUAAAGACUUGAUCUCGAGUCUUACAUCAGUUCUGCCUGCUGGGAGACCGCUUCUUGGCGCAUCUUUUUCACCCUCAACGUAAGGGUUGGGUUCAGAGAUUCAGAC